UUUCCUGGUGUAAACCACAAAGUGUGAAAGCCCUGAGCAAGUAAAUAAUUGACCACGCUCGAACGGUAUAAUCAACACAAUUACUUAAACAUGCCGCUGCUUUGUUUAAUAAACCCACUGAGUUUUAAUAUCGAGCUGUAUGAAUUCAACAACCAUGAUAGAAGUGCCGAGGUCUGGUAAGCAAAAGUAACAAUUCAUCAUUCUUAAAAAGGC